CCUUCACAGGUGCUGCAUGGCUGUCGUCAGCUCGUGCCGUGAGGUGUCGGGUUAAGUCCGUAACGAGCGCAACCCUUGCCCUUAGUUACAAGUGUCUAGGGGGACUGCCGGCGGGAAGCCGGAGGAAGGUGGGAUGACGUCAAGUCAGCAUGGCCCUUAUAUCCAGGGCUACACACACGCUACAAUGGACGGUACAAAGGGCAGCGAAGCCGCGAGGUGGAGCGAAUCCCAGCAAAGCCGUCCGUAGUACGGAUAGCAGGCUGCAACUCGCCUGCUUGAAGCUGGAGUUGCUAGUAACCGCGCGUCAGCAUAGUGCGGUGAAUACGUUCCCGGGGCUU
rnacentral:rRNA from 1 species